rnacentral:rRNA from 1 species
AGUGAACGCUGGCGGUAGGCCCAACACAUGCAAGUCGAACGGCAGCACAGUAAGAGCUUGCUCUUACGGGUGGCGAGUGGCGGACGGGUGAGGAAUACAUCGGAAUCUACUUUUUCGUGGGGGAUAACGUAGGGAAACUUACGCUAAUACCGCAUACGACCUACGGGUGAAAGCAGGGGAUCUUCGGACCUUGCGCGAUUGAAUGGGCCGAUGUCGGAUUAGCUAGUUGGCGGGGUAAAGGCCCACCAAGGCGACGAUCCGUAGCUGGUCUGAGAGGAUGAUCAGCCACACUGGAACUGAGACACGGUCCAGACUCCUACGGGAGGCAGCAGUGGGGAAUAUUGGACAAUGGGCGCAAGCCUGAUCCAGCCAUACCGCGUGGGUGAAGAAGGCCUUCGGGUUGUAAAGCCCUUUUGUCGGGAAAGAAAAGCAGCAGGUUAAUACCCCGCUGUUCUGACGGUACCCAAAGAAUAAGCACCGGCUAACUUCGUG